rnacentral:lncRNA from 1 species
CGCGCCGGGAAUGGGCGGCGGCAGGCGCGCGGGGCACAGGUUCCUGACGGGGCGCAGCUUUUCCCGGAAGGCAGGCAGCCUGAGAAGGGCUUCGUUUUUGCGCAGUAGGACGUUGAAGAAAGGACAAGCCCCCUUUGUCCUGGACGUAAGCCGCAAGUCGUCCAGAGUGGUGCACACCGCGAAGACUGAGGAAACUGGAUCACAGGGCUGGGCCGUGAGCCUUGAACCUCGGAGAACGUCGCAUUACUGCUCCAGCGCGCCGGUUCAGGGCCGCGGGACGCGAGCCCUUUAAAAGGAUGGAUUUGCUUCCUGUGACUCCCUGGAAGAGACGUCUUCACCACCGCACUACGUAGAGGCCGGCGUCGUCGCCCGCUCACCCCGCUUGCUGCCUCCCCGCACAAAGCCCAGCCCAGGUAGCUCAGGUUAGCUGGAGCCCCGGAGCCUCACCUGGCCUGGCCUAGGUUGUGUGGGGACGGGAUGUGGCUUCUGCAAGCCCAGAAACCUGUUUCCACUCCCCCACCACAAAUGGAACUCACCCAGCUCUACUCGCAAGGAACUCCUUACAUGUUGAAGAAUAUUAGUCUGUUGUCACAU